CUGCAGUGAUGAUGACUUAGGACACCUUUGAAGCAACUGAAAAUACAAUGUUAAAUCUGAGCGAU